GAGGUAUCGACCAAAGAUCAUUUCACCUGAUUUGAAACUUGACUUCUUACUUGACUGUGGAGUAACACCUGUGAACUGAAGGACUGGAUCAUAAAGGAAAGAAGUAAAACUUUGUACCGGUCUACUCAAAAGUAAAUCACAUUGAAUUCAGACACAGAGACAAGUGCCCAAACCACGGUUUGCAAGAUGCUGUGACUCUCUUACCAAGCAGGAGAAAAAAAGGAGGCGAAUGAAGACUCUUCCUCUGGCCUUUGCUACAGGACCUCUGAUGACCAGUUGGCCCCUUGAAAGAGGAAGGCAAACUGUUUCUGCAGACGCAGGAGGGAGCAAAUGGAAUCAAGCUCUAAGAAGCCUUUAUUCUUCCUUCUGAAAAAUAAAAGAGACAACUUAAUGAAAUAGUCUACA
rnacentral:lncRNA from 1 species